rnacentral:rRNA from 1 species
UACGUAGGGUGCAAGCGUUAAUCGGAAUUACUGGGCGUAAAGCGUGCGCAGGCGGUCUGCAUGCAAGACGAUGUGAAAUCCCCGGGCUUACCCUGGGAACUGCAUUUGUGACUGCAUGGCUGGAGUGCGGCAGAGGGGGAUGGAAUUCCGCGUGUAGCAGUGAAAUGCGUAGAUAUGCGGAGGAACACCGAUGGCGAAGGCAGUCCCCUGGACCUGUACUGACGCUCAUGCACGAAAGCGUGGGGAGCAAACAGG